rnacentral:rRNA from 1 species
AACAAACGCUGGCGGCGUGCCUAAUACAUGCAAGUCGAACGGGGAAAGCUUUCGGGUGAGUACUAGUGGCGCACGGGUGAGUAACGCGUGGAUAAUCUGCCUUAGAGUGGGGGAUAACUAGUCGAAAGAUUAGCUAAUACCGCAUAAGACCACAAGAACUGCGGUUCAAGGGGUCAAAGGUUUUUCGCUCUAAGAUGAGUCCGCGUAAGAUUAGCUAGUUGGUAGGGUAACGGCCUACCAAGGCGACGAUCUUUAACUGGUCUGAGAGGAUGAUCAGUCACACUGGAACUGAGACACGGUCCAGACUCCUACGGGAGGCAGCAGUAGGGAAUAUUGCACAAUGGAGGAAACUCUGAUGCAGCGACGCCGCGUGAGUGAUGAAGGCCUUCGGGUCGUAAAGCUCUGUCGCAGGGGAAUAACACAAUGAAGGUACCCUGUAAGAAAGGAUCGGCUAACUUCGUGCCAGCCGCCGCGGAAUAC